rnacentral:rRNA from 1 species
CGUGUAGGUGGCUUGUUAAGUCGGGUGUGAAAUCCCUCGGCUCAACCGAGGAAGUGCAUUCGAUACUGGCAAGCUCGAGUACCGGAGAGGGUCGUGGAAUUCCUGGUGUAGAGGUGAAAUUCGUAGAUAUCAGGAGGAACACCGGCGGCGAAGGCGGCGACCUGGACGAGUACUGACACUCAGACGCGAAAGCGUGGGGAGCAAACAGGAUUAGAUACCCUGGUAGUCCACGCUGUAAACGAUGGGUACUAGGUGUCGCGGGUAUUGACCCCUGCGGUGCCGAAGCUAACGCAUUAAGUACCCCGCCUGGGGACUACGGCCGCAAGGCUAAA